rnacentral:rRNA from 1 species
UACGGGGGGGCAAGCGUUGUUCGGAAUUACUGGGCGUAAAGGGCUCGUAGGCGGCCAACUAAGUCGGACGUGAAAUCCCUCGGCUUAACCGGGGAACUGCGUCCGAUACUGGAUGGCUUGAAUCCGGGAGAGGGAUGCGGAAUUCCAGGUGUAGCGGUGAAAUGCGUAGAUAUCUGGAGGAACACCGGUGGCGAAGGCGGCAUCCUGGACCGGUAUUGACGCUGAGGCGCGAAAGCCAGGGGAGCAAACGGG